GCUCCAGUGGCGCAAUUGGUUAGCGCAUGGUACUGAUAUGCCACUGGCGGUGCAGUGAUACUGGGGUUGUGAGUUCGAGUCUCACCUGGAGCA
rnacentral:tRNA from 1 species